AAGCGCUUAAAUACGCCCGUUUACGGAUUUCGCUGCUGCGAUCAGCCGAUUCCUGUUUCUUUGGUUGAUCUAUAUGGACUGCGUUUGUUCAAUUAAUCGAUACCUCUAGCAGGUUCUACAUUUACAUGCGGACAUGGCCGCUGGGGUUUUGGUUUGGGCCCUAAUUUCAGCUCUACUGCUCCUAAUUCUGAGAUUCAUUGCAGCUGUGAUCGCUGGAACGAGGAGUAGAAAGAGAGCCGUUGGAUUCUUCCACCCCUACACGAACGAUGGCGGCGGCAAUGGCGAGAAAAUGCUGUGGUGCGCCGUCAAAGCCAUCCAAGAAGAACGCCCCGAUAUUGACUCUGUCAUUUACACGGGCGAUCACGACGAUUCGCCCCAGAGCUUGAUGGCUCGUGCCGUCGUUCGCUUUGGGGGUCAAGCUGAUUUUCCCUCCUAUGGCGGUGCUUUUGUAUGAAAGGACGGGGAUUGAAGAAACAACUUGCCCUCACCUCACUAUGAUUGGUCAAAGAAUGGGUUCGAUGUAUCUCUAAUGGGAAGCUUUAAACAAGUCCACUCCUUUAUAUUAUUUUGACACCAGUGGGUAUGCCUUUACAUAUCCACUUGGUCGUUUGCUUGGAUGCAAUGUUAUAUGCUAUACGCUUUAUCCAACAAUCAGUCUAGACAUGGUAUCUCAUGUUCGCGAGUAGAGUUGGAUGUAUAAUAAUGAUGCUAGAAUUGCUCAAAGUGAUGCAGGUGCAGCAUCAAGGUUUUACAGCCAUGGGAGAAUUUAGAAGGAAGAAAAGAAACGAAGGGAAGGGAAGAGAGAAGAGAUACGAGGGGGAACUCAUGUUCAAUUCCAAUUCACAUUCAUCGUAACUACGUACAACAUGGCUUUCACACGAGAUUCAGAAGAGGAAGCAAAAGGGCUCAGAGUGAUCCUGGUCUGUUUUGAGCUUAUUACUGGUUUAAAAGUAAACCUUGCCAAAAGCUGCAUUUUCCCAAUUGGCUCUGUUGUAAAUUUAGAACAUUUUUUAGACUCUAUCAAAUGCAAGGUGGGUAAAUUUCCCUCUACUUAUUUGGGGGCCGCCUUUGGGAUCCUAUCGUGGAAAGGAUUGAGAUGAAAUUGGCAAAAUGGAAGGCUAGAUAUCUGUC